CACCUCCAGAUCCCUUUCCCAUAAGAUCUGAACACUGAUCUCAUGGUCAAAAAAAAAGAGGCGAAGUAAAAUGCAAGUUGGUCUCAUUCUCUCUGCCAGAACAGCCCUGCACUGAGAGGGUCUGGCUUGGAACACAG
rnacentral:snoRNA from 1 species